rnacentral:rRNA from 1 species
CCUCCUCUUGGGGAUAGCCUCGGGAAACCGAGGAUAAUACCCGAUACUUCAAUGUGGCCGCAUGACGACAUUGAGAAAGCUUUUGCGGAGAAGGAUGGGCCCGCGGCCUGUUAGCUUGUUGGUGGGGUAGAGGCCUACCAAGGCAAUGAUGGGUAGCUGGGUUGAGAGACCGACCAGCCAGAUUGGGACUGAGACACGGCCCAGACUCCUACGGGAGGCAGCAGUGGGGAAUCUUGCACAAUGGGCGAAAGCCUGAUGCAGCGACGCCGCGUGCGGGACGAAGGCCUUCGGGUUGUAAACCGCUUUCAGCAGGGACGAGGCGAAAGUGACGGUACCUGCAGAAGAAGCCCCGGCUAACUACGUGCCAGCAGCCGCGGUAAUACGUAGGGGGCAAGCGUUAUCCGGAUUCAUUGGGCGUAAAGCGCUCGUAGGCGGUCUGUUAGGUCGGGAGUUAAAUCCGGAGGCUCAACCUCCGCCCGCUCCCGAUACCGGCAGACUUGAGUUUGGUAGGGGAAGGUGGAAUUCCUAGUGUAGCGGUGGAAUGCGCAGAUAUUAGGAAGAACACCAGUGGCGAAGGCGGCCUUCUGGGCCAUAACUGA